AAUAGAUACCCGGGUAGUCCAUGCCGUAAACGUUGGGCGCUAGAUGUGGGGACCAUUCCACGGUUUCCGUGUCGCAGCUAACGCAUUAAGCGCCCCGCCUGGGGGAGUACGGCCGCAAGGCUAAAACUCAAAGGAAUUGACGGGGGGCCCGCACAAGCGGCGGAGCAUGCGGAUUAAUUCGAUGCAACGCGAAGAACCUUACCAAGGCUUGACAUAUACGAGAACGCUGCAGAAAUGUAGAACUCUUUGGACACUCGUAUACAGGUGGUGCAUGGUUGUCGUCAGCUCGUGUCGUGAGAUGUUGGGUUAAGUCCCGCAACGAGCGCAACCCUCGUUCUAUGUUGCCAGCACGUAAUGGUGGGAACUCAUAGGAGACUGCCGGGGUCAACUCGGAGGAAGGUGGGGAUGACGUCAAAUCAUCAUGCCCCUUAUGUCUUGGGCUUCACGCAUGCUACAAUGGCCGGUACAAAGGGCUGCAAUACCGUAAGGUGGAGCGAAUCCCAAAAGCCGGUCUCAGUUCGGA
rnacentral:rRNA from 1 species